GAUAUAAAGGACCCACUGGUGAGCUCUUUGGGACUAUCAAAAAAUCAUAAACACCUAUUCACUCAUUCUUUCUUUAAGUACCGUUCUCAAAGCUCUGUCUAACUUAAGCAUCGGAAGAUCUUUCAUCGAAAAAUUUUUGAUGACCGAACUUCUUUUUCAGGGUUUAGAAGCCAUCAUCCAUCCUUGGAUCUCCAUGGAUCAUCG
rnacentral:lncRNA from 1 species